CUUGCACCAGUGGCUUCCCCGAGGCUCUCAGGCCCCCGGCCUCAGACUGAAGACUGCACUGCGGGCUUUCCUGGUUUUGAGGCUUUUGGACUUGGACUGAGCCACUACUAGCUUCUCUCUUUCCCUACCUGGCAGACAGCCUGUUGUGGGACUGCCUUCUAACCGUGUGAACCAAUUCUCUCUGGGAGCUUAUAGCUUCAUUGCACUGUGUGUGGCAUUUGGGUCCUGUUUGACAGCAAUGACUGCCUUUCUGUUUAGUGUCUGUGUGCUAUGAAGAUUGCACACAGGGGUCCAGAUGCAUCCUGUUUUGAGAAUGUUAAUGGAUACACCAGCUGCUGCUUUGGAUUUCACCCAUUGGUGGUAGUGGACCCGCUGUUUGGAAUGCAGACAAUUUAAGUGAAGACAUAUCCAUAUAUGUGGCUCUGUUACAAUGGUGAAAUCUACAACCAUAAGAAGGUGCAGCACCAGUUUGAAUUUGAAUACCAGACCAAAGUGGAUGGUGAGAUAAUCCUUCAUCUUUAUGACAAAGGAGGAAUUGAGCAAACAAUUUGUACGUUGGUUGGUGUGUUUGCAUUUGUUUUACUGGAUUCUGCCAAUAAGAAAGUGUCCCUGGACAGAGAUACAUAAGGAGUCAGACCUUUGUUUAAAGCAGUGACAGAAGAUGGAUUUUUGGCUGUGCGUUCAGAAGCUAAAGUUCUGGAGGCCACAAGUCCAAAAUCAAGGUGUGGGCAGAAAUGCGCUCCCUCUGCAGACUCCUGGGGAGGAUGCUUGUUUCUUCCAGCUCUGCGACUGUGGUGCCUGCAGCCAUUGGAACCAGCUCUGCACGGCUCAGACCUGGGUGAUGAGGACACAGCUUUGCAGGUGGGCAGCCACAUCCCCAGGGGGAGACUGUGGGCCUGUGGCAGGGUAGGGGCAACCAGUGCAGGGGCUCCCCAUUGUUGCCCCUGAGCUCCUGGGGCUUGUGGAGAAAGACAGGUGGAUGCACACAUACUGCAGCUCCCUGGAUCUGAGCCUUGGUUUCCCUACCUGUGAAAUGGGCACCCAUGGCAGCUCAGAAGUGUCUGGGAGCAUCCCCUGUGGGGGAAGGUGUGGGGGGCUGCUGGGGCACAGUCAUGGGGAACCCCAGUCCCCCUCUCCAUGUGCUUCCCUCAAUGCUCCCUGAUGCCAGCAGUCCUGCCCCCGAACAGAAAGGGGCAUUCCUGUGAGUUCCUUGUGUGGGGGACUGGUCACAGAGACUCCCCAAGUGCAGGGCAGGGUGGAGGGAGGCUGAGGGGUGGUUGAAUGGACAGGAGAAGAGCUCUCUCCAGUCCCUUGGGUCUGGGUGGCCUGGGGAGCAUCCAUUUGGGCAGGCAGCUGGUGGGGCUGGUGGCUGAGCCACUGUGGCUCGGGGACCCCAGGCCAGGACAGAGUAGGGUGGGCAGGGAGAGCAGAGUGCGAGCAUAUGGGGCAGGACAGGUGUCUCCUGGACAGAAAGAGCCCUGGUCACUCAUGGCUGCAGCAUAGCCAUGGCGACAGGAAAGUGCUGCUGUACAUUGUGCUCCUGGGGCUGGCUCCCAAUGGACACCCAACAGCAUCUCCCCCAUUGUACUGUGGGAUGCUGGCAGUGGUGCUGGGCACUGGGGUAAGAGCCUUGGCAAGCCCUUCGCUCCCUGGGUGUGAGACUUUGGGCUCCUGGAUGCCUGGGUUUCUGUGUCCUAUUUUUCCCAUGGAAGAUGUUUGGGGUGCUCCCAGGAAAUGGGGAGGGCCCUGGGGGGUCAGGAUUGUAUUAUUAAAGCCAGAAAGUCUGGGGUUCCAUUUUUAGCACAAGGCAGGCAGCCCAUGAGCCCCAGCCCAGUGGCCAGCCUGUGUGGGAGGGGAGUGGGGGUCUGAAGGAGUGAGGC
rnacentral:lncRNA from 1 species